AAAUGAAUUUGUGAUUUUACUACACAAAACCUGAGAUCGUAUCAAAUUUCCACUCUGAUUUGCCAGCUUUUGCUGCGAUUUUUCGUUCAGUGUUAAUUGGUGGUGGUGCUGCUGCUUUUUUGGGGUGGUUGCCAACCCCCAGGAUAUGGCACGUUCCCGUUGAAGAAAUAUGAUGUGGACCUACUUAUUGCCUCUUGAAUUGAUCGGCACCCCGCAAUUGAGUAUCGACAGCUGCAAAAGCUCUGUGUCCCCGUCCAAACAAUCUCGAAAUCGCAGCUGGGCAUGGGCAUCCACACUCUUCGAGAUUCGCUGUGCAGGACAAUAGUCAAAUUUGUGCAAUAGAACGGCAAGCGACUGACCACAGAAAUGGACAGAAAUGGAAGGACAUUGUCGCUCACACCGGGCCAUCUAUCCGAAAGUAAUCGGCACGAGGCAAGGAAACACUCUGCGGCACAGCCUGCUGCCUUCGGAAAUGGAAAAAUCAUAUAAAUUACGGGCAGGACAUUAGCUGCGCACAACGGUAAUCGGUAAUCAUUGCGCAAUGUCACCAAGCAGCGGCUGUGUGUGCAAAAAUCUUUUCGUGCCUGCAAUGGAAUCAAGAAAUCAACAAUGCAUCGCACAAUGGCCGGCCAAGGAAAAUCAGUGCAACACCGGGCUCCUGGCGCACAUCUUGCACGUCUCAGUUCCCCCCUCCCGCCACCGUCCAUGGGACAAAAGGACCCAAUGUUUAUGCCAUUAUUCUUCCGGCGCACAUUGGCCCAUUGUGUGCCGCAUUCCCCGAUUCUGCUGCCGGGCAGCAGCUUCCAUCCCCGAUCGCCGGUUUCUUCUUCCGUCUCCAAAAUGCAAUCAUUGUAAUCGAUUUUGCACAAUUUCCAAUGCUCAAGACAGUCGUCAAGACGUCGCAGGGGUGGGUAUAGAUGCAGUGAGAAAAAUACUUGGCAAGUUAAACAGGAAUCCGGAAUAACAAAAGAGCGUGGUAACAUUUCAACGAUGCCUUAUCUAAAGUUUUCAGCACAAAUGUAUAUAGUAAAUACUUUCAAAUAUUUA
rnacentral:sRNA from 1 species